AAUUAGACUGGCAGCCAGUGUAAUUUAUAGUGAUGCCUUGAUGUAAUGUGUUUCCUUUUAACAAAUGAACUCAAAUGUUCCUUUGUCCCAAAUGUUUGUGCUAACAGCCCAUUUAGAGGAGAGGUUUCUCUGAGCAUAGUUACGCUGCUGAGACAUUUCCGUUGCAAUGUUCUAGAUUUCUCUGACAUGGCCCCAUUGCUGGUUCCAACUUUGUGAUUAAGCAACAUGGAGCCUUCGAUUUCUAAAGCCAUCUUCAAGAUUCAUGUCAGAGGUAAAAGUUUGUCUGUGGGGAAGGCUUUCAAAUUCUUCUGGACCUGAACCAAAUAAGGAAAACUGUUACAUUCUGUGACACUGUGCAGUUACCAUGUACUUCCAAGGGAUGUUGGAGAUAUACUCCUCAUUGCAGAUGGGAGAGAUGAAAUGAUAACAGGCUGAACAAAAAAAGGAAGCAGGCUGGGUUUGGCUCCUGAAUUAUGAUUUUCCCACAUUCGUUCCAUCAGCGACACAUGAGUGUAUCACAAUCAGUUUUAAAUUAUACUGCCAGUAACUUACUCCUGGUCAAUUGUAAAAAUAUCAGUUAGUGCCUAAUUUGUUUUUAUAAUAAUUCAGAAUUGAUUUAUUACUAUAAAUAAAUGGCAUAAUGGCAUUUCCAUGCGCUUAUAUUCUAUUUGAAGUGGCAGUAAAGUACAGAGCUGAUAAGCUACAGUUUUGUUUUACCUAAGCUGUGGCAAUCGUGAACCAUUUUAUUGUUGAACUGCCCUUCAUGGUGGGAAUUUCGAUGCUUCAGAGUAAUUUAUUUCCCUGUAGAAAUUUAUCAAAAUAUGCCACACCCAUGGGAAUUUUACACAUGGUAUGCAUCCUCUAUAUGAGGGAAAAAUGUUUGAGGGCCAGUGCACUAGGCCAAAUCCUGAGAUGUACAUACUUUGUUGCUGUAUAUACUUGUAUAUCCUUGUACUCUAAACAGAAUUGAUUUUGUUCAGCGAGCAGUUUGAUUGUUCGCAGUGUGUUUAUAUAUAUAUAUAAUAUAUAUAUUUGUACAUACAUGAUGGGAUGGGGUGUGAGUAUAUUUAUACAUAAAUGUAUAUAUAUAAACACACCACAGGGAUUUUAAGAUCUUUGUCAGGAUUGUUUCUGUUUUUGAUUCCUUGACCAUUUUAAAACCCAAGAGAUAAAACAUUAUGUAUGUUACAGGCAAAUGUGCACUUGAGUUUAUAGCAAUUUAGUUUGUAUAUAGGAAUUCCUGCAUCUUUAGUUGAGCCUUGCCUCUUCCACUGAAUAUUAUAUGAGUUGUUAUGAACAUAUGAAGUGCUGGGCAUGGUGGCGUACACAUGUAACCCCAGCAGUUGGGAGGCUGAGACAGGAGGAUUGCCUAGAGUUCAAGGCCAGCCUGCACUACAUAGCGAGACUCUGUCUCCAAAAAAAAAGAACAUAUGAAGUAUCAUCCUCGAAUUUGAGUUUUCUAUACUGUUAGUUAAGAAACCAUGAUUAAUAUUGGCCGAGCCAUUGGCAUAUUAAUGGAAUCUAUAUACUCUUCAUAGUUAAUUAGAUUCUUUAUUUAGUUAGCAGAUUACUUAGUUUCAAGUUGUUCUUCUCUAUUUUUAUGUUUAACAGAUGACUUGCAUGUAAGUUUCUUUUCAUGAAAAUGAUAGCUAGGCUAAUGUGAUUUUAAAUUUACCUGGAAACCAAGGAUUUAUGUGAUACAUUAAGCUUUUUUGGGAUUCUUUUGGUUAAAAUACACUGAUGUUUAGUGAAGUUUUGUUUUGUCUCACUAUGUUCUAUUGAGUGAAUAACCAUUCAGUUUGAUUCUUCUGGAGAGUAAUCAGUUCUCUAAGGUUUUGGGGUGCUCGGUGGGUGUGGCAUUCACCCAGGUCACUCGAGUCCUUACUGUUUCAUCACCUAGAAUGUCCUGGUUGCAUGGAAAAGUGAACACAGCUUCCCCAUAUGCCUUAUUCCCACUGACGUGUUGAUAUACUGGAACACUCUGGCUCCAGGAGUAUUACACUUUUUUGAGACUGUCUAUAAAUACUAUUUUGUAAAAACUAUGCCUUUAAAUAGACAUUAAUGGGUUAUAUUUGUUUUAUAAUAAUUGCGUACCUAAUGUUCAAUUGUGAUUGAUUUUUGAGAUUAUAUAUAAAUGUAUAUUUAUAAGCCUGUCUAUGUGAAUUUUUACUCUAAGAUGUGUAGUACAUUACUAAUAAAGACAUGGAUUUCUAUUUAUGCAAAACAAUUGUAGCAAUAUUCCUAAAUGCUACCUAAAUGAUUGUUCUGUCCAUUUACCAUCAUAAAUGCAUUUAUCUUUAAAUGAUUAUGUUAUAGUUAGAAUGUAUUAUCUAGAUUUAAACUUUAGAAUAUAAAUUCUCAACAUAGUUUGAAUUCUUC
ensembl:lncRNA